rnacentral:lncRNA from 1 species
CCAUUUCUGCAUUCAUUUCGUGCAGAAACAACUCCGAUUUAGUCCGACACUCUCCAGAUGUGUCGACUAAUCACUAAUACUGAAGCCAAUCCUAUCCAAACCUCAGGAACACAACAUAGAUCUACCCUUUAAUCAUUUCCACCUGUUAGAUUAUACUAUUAAACCAACGACCCACUCAACCCUAGGAGACUACUAUCAAUUUAACCCGGGACCACUAUCAUCCUAACCGCACAUCUUUUCAUCCAACGGCCGAAAACUCAAUAGUACCAAAGGACUAGUACUAUUGAUAGUAUAGUAGCAUAUAUAUAUAUAUAUAUAUAUAUAUAUAUAUAUAUAUAUAUAUAUAUAUAUAUAUAUAUAUAUAUAUAGAGUUGAGCUAGAAUGCUAUCGAUAACAAACGGGCUCUGUCGCCACCCAUUUGUUUUCGAUGAUAGAGCCUCUAAAUCGACGAUCGGUACCGUUGAACAUGAUCUAUACCACUUGAAGUGUAUAGAAAUUAAAUUUUAUACAUUUUCGAUAUUAUUCUCUUAUCCAUCGAGUGGACACAAAAAUAAACGGCUGAAAAUGAAUAUUCUUUAAAAAAUAAUGAUAGGAGUCUUGUAAUCAAGAUCAAGAGUAUAGAUCUUGUUUUAAAUAGUUUAAAGAAUUUUCUAACAAAACUUCAAUUGAUUUGGAUAUCUUUACGCCGUUAAAGGAGAAAACGCCUUAUAUCGACCAUUAAAAUUACAAAAUUUGAAACCCUUUGAUCAUUAGCAAAUGAUGUCGAAAAGAUUUGAAAUUUGAUUUCUAAACACUUCAAGUGGUAUAAAUCAUGUUUAACGGUGUCGAUCGUCGAUUUGGAGGCUUCAUCAUCGAAAACAAAUGGGUGGCAACGGAGCCCGUUUGCUAUCGAUAGUAUUCUAGCUCAAUUAUAUAUAUAUAUAUAUACUAUUAUAUAAUAUAUAUAUAUAUAUAUAUAUAUAUAUAUAUAUAUAUAUAUAUUAUAUACUAUAUAGUAUUAAAUACAUACUUUAUAUAUUAUAUUAAAUAUUUGUCAUAUAAUGUAAUUUAAAUAUACUUAAUUAUAAAUAUAAAUUUUAACAAUAAUAUAUAUGUAUCUAUAAAUUAUUAUACAUAAAUAAUAUAUAAAUAUAUAUAAUAGAAAAAAAUUAUAUAAAAUAAUUUUAUUUCACCAUUCCUUCCAACUAAACAAAUAUAUCUGAAAAUUCUUUUUUCUAGUAAAAGUAAAACUCUAUUUUUGCAAAAAAAUAUUAUCAAAAUUUAUUUUUUACGAUCUAAAUGGAACCAAACAGUUCCUAAUUUACACACAUGUUAAUUAGAGGGACAUAAAUUCCAAACUAUUUGAAACAUGCAACGUGUCAAUUUGUAGUUCACCCUCCAACAAAAGUACAACUUCCUUACUUAAAAAAAAAAAAAAGAAAAAAGAAUGCACCAGUCACGUUGCUUACGGGUAAGCAAUCAAUCAUAUUACUCUUGUAAAAUUUAUCCAUCAUAUCAUAAUUUUUAGAAAAAAAAUUUAUUAUAUUUUUUAAUAAAAAUUUAUAUCUGACUGAACAUAAAUGAUAUAAUAUAACUGCUAUGCUACAUAGUAUAUUUCGAUUUAGUUUAAUAUUAAGGUCCAUCUAACGCUAUUAGAUAAAAUGAAGUUAUUACACAAAUAUAUAGAAAUAUAUUUUUACGUUCUCCAAUGACAUAGUAAAAAUUAAUAUAUCGUAAUCGACUCAUCGCGAUAUACAAAACACAAUAUUAUGUAUAAAAAUAAAUAGAAUAUUUUUUAUCGUACUUUGUACUGCACGUAACAUAAUUUCCCUGCAAUCCAAACGGAGCUUUCCUCCCUUACCCAUAAUUAAUAGUAUGUGAGAUCCCUGGUGUUCGAUUGUGGAGGCUUGUUGGCAGCUCUGGAGAAUGUCGGGACGAGUCCGAGUCGCGUUGGCGUCAAAUAGACGCAAAACGGACUCUGUACGACGCGAGGGCAGCUUAUAGCGAAAAAAUCUGCAAAACAGCAGAUUUCUCUGCUUGCUGUACCGGUACAACCAGCAUGCUGUACCCGUACAAC